GUGCUUGCUUCAGCAGCACAUACACUAAAAUUGGAAUGAUACAGAGAAGAUUAGCGUGGCCCCUGUGCAAGGAUGACACACAAAUUCUUUUUUUUUCAAUUUAUUUAU
ensembl:snRNA U6 U6 spliceosomal RNA